rnacentral:rRNA from 1 species
UACGUCGGGUGCGAGCGUUGUCCGGAAUUAUUGGGCGUAAAGAGCUUGUAGGCGGUUUGUCGCGUCUGCUGUGAAAAUCCGGGGCUCAACCCCGGACUUGCAGUGGGUACGGGCAGACUAGAGUGUGGUAGGGGAGACUGGAAUUCCUGGUGUAGCGGUGAAAUGCGCAGAUAUCAGGAGGAACACCGAUGGCGAAGGCAGGUCUCUGGGCCACUACUGACGCUGAGAAGCGAAAGCAUGGGGAGCGAACAGG